GAUGAAGAACGUAGCGAAAUGCGAUAAGUAAUGUGAAUUGUAGAAUUCAGUGAAUCAUCGAAUCUUUGAACGCACAUUGCGCCCGCCAGUAUUCUGGCGAGCAUGCCUGUUCGAGCGUCAUUUCAACCAUCAAGCCCCAGGCUUGUGUUGGAGCCCUGCGGCUGCCGCAGCCUCCCAAAACCAGUGGCGGGCUCGCUAUCACACCGAGUGCAGUAGUUUACUCUUCGCUCAGGGCGUGUGGCGGGUGCUAGCCGUGAAACCCCCAACUUCUCAAGGUUGACCUCGGAUCAGGUAGGAAUACCCGCUGAACUUAAGCAUAUCAAUAAGCGGAGGA
rnacentral:misc_RNA from 1 species